AACAUUACAUUCACUAAAACUGAUCAAUUAGUAGAGAUAAUUAAAUACGUAAUAACACGUGUAAUUAAACACAGAAGGAUAUGACUAUGCUAUAUAUUCGAAGUAUAUAAUAAUAUUUAUAUGUAAGCUAAGAUUCAUGACCUCCGAGCUUUUCUAAAUAGUUUCGUUAGGUAUUCCGUCUGACAUAACGAUAUAACAUAUUUAGUAACGCUCGCUCUGUAAUACUAUCCGGACGUAAUGGCAAAAAAAGACAGUUGGGUGUGGCAAUAUUUUAAAAAAGAAGGCAAUAAAAUACGAUGUAAAAUAUGUAAUGUUGAUUAUACAUUAUUUACUUCUAACAUAACUAAUAUGCAUAGAGCACACUUAUACGCACAUGACAUAUCUAAUAAAGAAGCAGACGAAGAAUGGAAAAACGAACCAGUUAAAUCUGACUCAGUCUGGCAAUUUUUCACAAGAGGUAAACCGUACACUGCGAUAUGCAAUAUUUGUAAUCGUGUAUUGCGGCAUGCAUACCUCGAAAAACUUUUAGUCAUACACCAUAAAUAUCAUAAUAUAGAAACGGAAACUACAAUAAAAGUUCAACUGUCUUGGCUUUCUAAGUAUUUCAAACUUCCCAUAAAGGAUAGAAAAAUAUAUUGUAUUCCUUGUAAAAAUUUCAUAAGUAUAUCAAAAAAAGAAAUUUAGACGAUCAUUUGUCUCAAUGUCAUAAAAUAAUUGAAAAUAAUGAAAGUACGGAAAGUGCGGAAGGUACGGAAAGUACGGAAAGUGUACAAAGUACGGAAAGUACGGAAAGUGUGGAAAGUACGGAACGUACGGAAAGUGCGGAAGGUACGGAAAGUACGGAAAGUGCACAAAGUACGGAAAGUACGGAAAGUGCGGAAAGUACGGAAAGUACGGAAAGUACAGAAAAUGCGGAAGAUGCGGAAAGUUCGAAAAAUAUAAAAAGUACAAAAGUUUAAAAACUAUAGGAAGUACAAUUACGAGGAUACAAUGACUAGGAUAUAACGAAUCAACCAAAUCAAGUAUUAUAAUCCAACUUAUAAACAGCAAAUAAUAGCAGAGUGUCUUAUACUUUAAAUACUAAAUAAUAACUGGAUAUAGAGAAAUUUCAUUUGAUAAUGAUAGACAAAAUGAGAAUUAUAUAUAAAGGCAUAUUUACACCUUGUCUAUAAUAUUUAAUAAAGAAAACAAACAGUGGAGAAAAACAUUGAUAUUAAUAUGACUUGGUGAUAUUAUGAAAAGAGGAAACAUGUAUUGCAAAAGGCAAACUUUAUGGUUACAAAAAUUUUAUAUAUAUAACAACAAUCUUAGACAAUUUCUUUUUCCUUGACGUAUGUAGGAGAAGUGAGCAAAAUUUAACUGAAUAUAAUUAAAUCUCUGAUCGAUAUCUGACUAAUUAUGUCUGAUUAACACGACAUUUUACGACAUUUAUGAUGUAACCAUAUGAAAA